AACGGACGCUGGCGGCAGGCUUAACACAUGCAAGUCGAACGCCCCGCAAGGGGAGUGGCAGCCGGGUGAGUAACGCGUGGGAACAUACCCUUUCCUGCGGAAUAGCUCCGGGAAACUGGAAUUAAUACCGCAUACGCCCUACGGGGGAAAGAUUUAUCGGGGAAGGAUUGGCCCGCGUUGGAUUAGCUAGUUGGUGGGGUAAAGGCCUACCAAGGCGACGAUCCAUAGCUGGUCUGAGAGGAUGAUCAGCCACAUUGGGACUGAGACACGGCCCAAACUCCUACGGGAGGCAGCAGUGGGGAAUAUUGGACAAUGGGCGCAAGCCUGAUCCAGCCAUGCCGCGUGAGUGAUGAAGGCCUUAGGGUUGUAAAGCUCUUUCACCGAUGAAGAUAAUGACGGUAGUCGGAGAAGAAGCCCCGGCUAACUUCGUG
rnacentral:rRNA from 1 species